UACGUAGGUGGCGAUCGUUGUCCGGAUUUACUGGGCGUAAAGCGCGCGCAGGCGGACUGAUCAGUCUGGGGUGAAAUCUCACGGCUCAACUGUGAGCGGUCCCUGGAUACUGUCAGUCUUGAGAUGUCUAGAGGAGAGCGGAAUUCCCGGUGUAGUGGUGGAAUGCGUAGAUAUCGGGAAGAACACCAGUGGCGAAAGCGGCUCUCUGGGGACCAUCUGACGCUGAGGCGCGAAAGCGUGGGGAGCGAACCGG
rnacentral:rRNA from 1 species